CCUGGCACUGCAGGGGGAGAGGUGGGCAUUUAGGUACCAAGACACGUGACGAGGUCUGACUGUGGCUCCUGUGAUGAGCCACUGACAUUAGUAAAUGCAACGACGCUGCUGUGACGCAUCUGGAUAAAAGCAUCGCAGGUAUUCUGGUUGUGCAGCGCAGAAACAGGAAAUAGGAAAGAGCUUAGUCCUGUGACAGAGAGCCGUCUGCUCCGCCAAACAAGAAGAGCAAACGGGAGUCGGUCCGCCGGGAGCUGCUGCCGCUGCUUUCAAUGCAUCAAGAAGAAAAGGAGACCUGAGAAAUGUCAUCAGAUCUGAGAUUGCCUUUUGUUAAGUAA
rnacentral:lncRNA from 1 species